UACGUAGGGUGCGAGCGUUAAUCGGAAUUACUGGGCGUAAAGCGUGCGCAGGCGGUUCGUUGUGUCGGCGGUGAAAGCCCCGGGCUUAACCUGGGAAUGGCCGUUGAAACUGGCGAACUGGAGUGUGGCAGAGGGGGGUGGAAUUCCGCGUGUAGCAGUGAAAUGCGUAGAGAUCGGGAGGAACACCAGUGGCGAAGGCGGCCUUCUGGACCAGCACUGACACUCAAGCACGAAAGCGUGGGGAGCAAACAGG
rnacentral:rRNA from 1 species